rnacentral:tRNA from 1 species
GGAGAGAUGGCCGAGUGGUCGAAGGCGCACGCCUGGAAAGUGUGUAAGCGUCAAAAGCGCUUCUAGGGUUCGAAUCCCUAUCUCUCCGCCA